CCACGUUGUUCGAAGAGGUUCAUUGAAAGUUUUUUUCAGUUCUUUUCUCUGGUUAUUUAAGCUGAUCAUAAGAUGGAUGUUUCGCAAGGACGAUCACCGGAAUUCACCCGAUUCUCUUUCUGUGAGCAAACAACCCAAAUCCUGGUAUCGCUGUAGUGUUUGUGGGACAUCUCGAAAAACACCAGACAGGAAAUUUUUCAGAUUUCCUAAGGAUCCUAUUAGAUCAAAACAAUGGGCUCCCGCAUGCAGUAAUCAAGACUUGUUAAAU